rnacentral:rRNA from 1 species
ACGGGAGGCAGCAGUGGGGAAUAUUGCACAAUGGGCGCAAGCCUGAUGCAGCAACGCCGCGUGAGGGAAGACGGUUUUCGGAUUGUAAACCUCUGUUCUUGGUGACGAAGAAGUGACGGUAGCCAAGGAGAAAGCCACGGCUAACUACGUGCCAGCAGCCGCGGUAAUACGUAGGUGGCAAGCGUUAUCCGGAAUUACUGGGUGUAAAGGGAGCGCAGGCGGGACAGCAAGUCAGCGGUGAAAUGUAUGGGCUCAACCCAUGAACUGCCGUUGAAACUGUUGUUCUUGAGUGAAGUAGAGGUAGGCGGAAUUCCGAGUGUAGCGGUGAAAUGCGUAGAUAUUCGGAGGAACACCAGUGGCGAAGGCGGCCUACUGGGCUUUAACUGACGCUGAGGCUCGAAAGUGUGGGGAGCAAACAGGAUUAGAUACCCUGGUA